UACGGAGGGCGCAAGCGUUAUCCGGAUUCACUGGGUUUAAAGGGUGCGUAGGUGGGCAGGUAAGUCAGUGGUGAAAUCUCCGGGCUUAACUCGGAAACUGCCAUUGAUACUAUCUUUCUUGAAUACCGUGGAGGUCAGCGGAAUAUGUCAUGUAGCGGUGAAAUGCUUAGAUAUGACAUAGAACACCAAUUGCGAAGGCAGCUGGCUACACGAAUAUUGACACUGAUGCACGAAAGCGUGGGGAGCGAACAGG
rnacentral:rRNA from 1 species